rfam:Rattus norvegicus chromosome 5, whole genome shotgun sequence.
GGGGAUUUAGCUUAGUGGUAGAGCACUUGCCUAGCAAGCGCAAGGCCCUGGGUUCGGUCCCCAGCUCCG